rnacentral:rRNA from 1 species
GAUGAACGCUGGCAGCGUGCUUAACACAUGCAAGUCGAACGAUGAAGCCCAGCUUGCCGGGUGGAUUAGUGGCGAACGGGUGAGUAACACGUGAGUAACCUGCCCUUAACUCUGGGAUAAGCCUGGGAAACUGGGUCUAAUACCGGAUAGGAGCGUCCACCGCAUGGUGGGUGUUGGAAAGAUUUAUCGGUUUUGGAUGGACUCGCGGCCUAUCAGCUUGUUGGUGAGGUAAUGGCUCACCAAGGCGACGACGGGUAGCCGGCCUGAGAGGGUGACCGGCCACACUGGGACUGAGACACGGCCCAGACUCCUACGGGAGGCAGCAGUGGGGAAUAUUGCACAAUGGGCGCAAGCCUGAUGCAGCGACGCCGCGUGAGGGAUGACGGCCUUCGGGUUGUAAACCUCUUUCAGUAGGGAAGAAGCGAAAGUGACGGUACCUGCAGAAGAAGCACCGGCUAACUACGUG